AUGGGUAAUACAGGUGUCUCGCUGAGAAUAAUGUAAAACCUACACUAUCUAAUGCAUAAAUAAAUAGAUGUGAAUUAGCCAUGUGUGAUAACGUGUCUUCUUUACAGGCUCCGCCCCCUUCUUCAGCCGUGACCUAUAGGACGCUAGAGGAAAGGGAAGGAGAAAUGAACACAGGUCCUCACGUGUUUGACAUGCUGUACCCUGCCAGCCAGGACUGCAGUGACACUUCGCCCCAACACACACUCCUCCAUUUACACACUUCUGAAGACAUGUGGCUGGAACACAGAGAGAGAGAGACAGUAAUGAAGAGAAAUGGCUGGAGUGUGGAGGUAAAACUGUGUGUGUGUGUGUGUGUGUGUGUGUGUGUGUGUGUGUGUGUGUUGAUGGAUGGACAGGUCAGAAGGCCGAAUCGCUGACCAUGAGGCGGAGAGAUAAAUGGAGGGAAAGUGAAUCCUGAGAGCUGUCCUGCUGCUCCAUCAGCUCCAGUGAAGUGCACUAGGUGAGGAGGGAUCAAGUGGACAUCGCUAUAGAUUUGGCUUCAUGCUCGUCUCUCAUAAACCCUGUUCCAGCGCAGCAGUUCGCCGCGUCAGUCAAAGCUCCGCAAUAACGAGCGAAAAACAAACUGCAACUUAAAACCAGCUGAAGACGAGAUGGAGAACUCGCUUCCCUGCUGAGCUCCGAUAUCACGGCUGUGUGUGCUGUGAGCGUGACACUCGUCUGUGAUGGUGAAGCUGAACGUCAGUGUUUCCGGGGUCGUGACCCUCAGGGUGAUGAGUCCUGAGCGUGAGAGCGACGCCGCGCUCGGCCCCGCCUCUAACAGGAAGGACA